rnacentral:rRNA from 1 species
UACAGAGGGUGCGAGCGUUGUCCGGAAUCACUGGGCGUAAAGGGCGCGUAGGCGGCCUCAGGUGUCGGAUGUGAAAGCCCGGGGCUCAACCCCGGAGGUGCAUCCGAAACUCUGGGGCUGGAGGUCGGAAGAGGAGGGUGGAAUACCCAGUGUAGAGGUGAAAUUCGUAGAUAUUGGGUGGAACACCGGUGGCGAAAGCGGCUCUCUGGUCCGGACCUGACGCUGAGGCGCGAAAGCGUGGGGAGCAAACAGG